ACUUCCCUCACCCACCAUAACAGUUUAUGAAAUCAUUAUCAUGAAAUAUGCAACUUGGCUUCCAUAUUGAUGAUUAUGGAAUGACUGCACUUCAAAAGCGAUUUUUUUGUUGCAAGUGCUUUGUUAAAGUAACGUAAACUUAAGGCUCUGGCCAUUCAUUACCACCUUCUCCAGCAAAGCAGCAGAAAAUGUGUUUGCACAGCAGAUUGAGAGUUGAACAAUAAAGAGGCUCAGAGUUAAAACAUGUUGGGCCAGGACAAAGUGACCCGUGGACCAAGAAAGAAAAUAAAUUCUCCUUCUGUCACAGUCUAAUUGGUAAAAGUUCACUUUACUGCAGUCACCACAAUUCGGAGACAAACAGAGAAUAAGUUAGAUCCUAAUAAAAAAACAUGAAUGCCAACAAAAA